GGUCCGAUUCUGAGCUAAAAGAUGAAAUUGGGUGGAGCAGAUGUCAGGAGACCAACAGUAGCCAUGGAGUCUGAGGUGUGGACUAGUGAAAGGAGGAAAUCAUGCCAUGGAAAUCCCAUUUCUGUGACAUUUAGCCUGGACUAUCAUGGUUAACUGAUGUGUUAAUGUCCAUAUGAUCUGUCACAUUCCAACAGAAAGUGUCCCAUGAGUAUACACUGUAUUACAGUCAGUACCUUGGAAGGAAGGAGAAGAACACCCAGGUUGAAGGAACUCAGGGUUUCAUUCUUGGACCAGCAUGACCAUGCAUCCUUACACUGGUGGGUGAUAUCACUAUGAACUUCCAGAAGCCAUGGUCUCCUGUUCAUCGUGAAGAUGCUUGCAAUUGGAUGCUGAUAGUAGAAGCAAGAAGCUAAAGGCUUAUGGUUUGGUCUACCAUCAUCGUUCUUAGGUACCUGAUUAGGACACCAUGGAAAGUAGAGUGUGUGGAGAAUGAGGCUGUCACAUCACGAUGAACAGGAUGAGAGGAACACAGGAAGGGGCCAGGAACAAGAUAUCCCAUGAACCCACUUCCAGUGACUACUUACUUCCUCAGUGCUGGUUUCUAGAAUUUUUUAGAAUAGUUCCACCAGGUCCAAGAGAUGGAGAAAUAACCCAGAGUACCUGACCCCAUUGCUGUCGAAGAGCUGUGAUGGAAUUCACUUCUACAAAUUCUCUUUUGGCUUGAGCCAGUUUGGAUCACCCAACUUUGCCAACCAUGCUCAAUCUGGCUAAUGUCAGCCUCCUUUAUAAUCAGGGAUUGUGUAGGGGAAAGAUCACAUACCCAAGAUACUGUCCACACCUGCAAAGGGGGACAGGUGAGAGAUAAAAGGAGAAGGGAAAGUAAAUAUCUCUCUUGGAUGCUGGCCGCGUUUCCAGGAGCUUCUCAUCUUCCAAGCUUCUCAUGCUAAACAAAAUGUGCUAUGGGGUCAGGUGUGGCAGGAGAAUGGCCAGUUUUCAGGUACUGGUGGGAGAUGGAAUUGGAGGCUAAUCUGUCUCGGUCAUGCAGGGUUGUUACUGUGUGUGACACAACGCCCCAUAGAAGAUUUCUUCUUCUUGCUUUGUUUUAGGUUCAUCUGUACAGACAAGAUCCAUCACUCGCUGUUAUGUUUAUGAUCGCCUGUUGUUGCUCUGCCUGUAACUCAUUCCUUCACUUGGCAAUUUUUGAUGAUGCAGUAAGAAUCCACUCUCAGCCUAAAAACUAAGGUCUUGGUUGUCACUUGUAUCUACCUGUGCGU